GCCGGGGUAGCCUAGCCAGGCCAAGGCGGUGGACUUGAGAUCCACUGGGCGAGAGCCCGCGUGGGUUCAAAUCCCACCCCCGGCG
rnacentral:tRNA from 1 species